rnacentral:ncRNA from 1 species
GCUUGCGUAUCGGGAGACGCCGGCGGCAACGCCGGGGCCGAAGGAGCAGCCGCCCCGGCGAACUCUCAGGCAAAAGGACCGUUUCGCGCGU